GUUAACAAUCCAUCUGUCUAUUCUAAAAACGUAAGUAAAUUUUCUUUAUUAAAAAAUUCAUGGUAAAAAUUUUUUAGUUCAUUUUAUUGUGAAACAAAAUGUUGGGUAUAAAUUAGUUAAUCUACAGCCGGUAUAUAUUUUUGCACCUUACCAGACUACCAGCAUAUCAACACCUCGAAUAUGAACCUGGUGUAUGGAGUUCCAAAGUUCUACAAUAGAUGUCUCCUCAAGCCAGUUUUUCAACCUUCUGAAGUAAAAAAAAGUUUUUUAUACUUCCGAUUUAAUAGUCCAAGCGGUAAUGGCUGCGACGCUACUCGCCGGAAUUUGAUAAAAACACAAUUAUACCAGAUAUAUUCUGUAGCGUUGCAGUACUUGAAUUUAUACAGUGUAUUAGUGGAUAUAAAUUUAAAAUAUACAUUUUAAUUUUUCGAUAACUAUAUCGCAGUUGCAAACAUCCCUCAGCCAUUUGACGUGGUGAACGAAAACUACAUUUUGACAUUUGCUACGUGUACAUACAUUCUCAAACGAUAAGUUUGCAAAUUUUACUUUUCAAUAUUAUUAUAAAUGGACUGAUUCCACUCAUGCAAGAAGAUGCUCUUUUUAAAGAUACUUAUAGAAAUAUCAAUUACGCUUGUAGCUUUUUUAAAGGUACAAAGGUCGGAAAGCCUGACGAAUACGAUUUAGAUUUGAGAAUGCGUUUACCAUUAAACUAUCCGACGUUAAAGGUUAAACAAAAUCACGAAAAUUAUGGCUAUGUAAAAGUAAAAGUGGAAGAUGAUAGUAAAGUAAUAGUAAGAUUACCAAAAUGGAAAACUCACAGCAAAAUUUUAAAUGAAUGGUUGGAUAAUAAAGGAUAUUUAGACAAAAAUAAAUUUCGACAGUGGAUGGAAAAAGUUAUGUCAAAAACCUAUGAUCGUCUUAUAAAAGUUGAUAAGGAUUAUGAACUCACUGUAGAAGAUAAAACAUACGUUUUAAAGCAAUACAAAAAAAGUGGACCUGCAUUCACAAUUUAUGUUCAACCUAAAGAUGAAUCAGAAGCCGAUCAUAUCAUGAAUGUUGAUUUGGUACCCUGUUUAGAAUUCGAAGACAUAACAUUAGAUGGCUACAAACAAAUUUCGUAUAUGACUAACAAUAUAAUAAUUGUUGCUAAACCGUCAAAUGAACCUGAUGGUCAUCGCUUAUAGAGGCUAAGUUUUUAUGAACAAGAAAAAAAAAUGUUACGGGAAAACGAAGCUGGAAAGUUAAAGCCAAUAAUAAGAUUAAUCAAGAAACUGCGUGACAAAUUAGAAUGGAAAAAAUUAGCUAGUUAUUACAUAGAAACGUUAUUCUUGCACGAGCUAGAUGCACGAAAAGCUGAAAAUGACAUAGACUUUUUUAUAGAGCACCAAAAACAUCUUUAUUUAUAUACAUGUUAGAGAAAUUGCGUGAAGCAAUUUCCUUGAAAAAAUUGCCAUAUUUUUGGCAUGAAAAGUAUAAUUUAUUUUCUAAUAUGACCGACAAAAUGACAGAAAAUUAUGCAAAUCGUUUGAAAUCGAUUCUAAACCUUAUUCAAAAAAAUAUUUAUAUCAACAGAUUCAUUAUUGCAGAGCAAAUGUUAUCUGAUUCUGAAGUCUCAGCAUUGCAAACGAUUGUUCUCUCCGGAAUAGACCAGAUGAAAGAAGGAAAUGCUGAAAAUGUUGCUGAUUUGACAACAUGUAUAGAAGAUCUUGAUAUUAGCGGUUCCCAAAAGGCAGAUAUAUCAGAAGUUGAAUCAAUCGACGUAAUGAAUUCUGCAGAAACACCAAAUGCUGAAUUCGAUACUGUCGAUUCACCAAAUCAGGAUAUAGGAAACACUACUGCAGAACCAACAACUAUUAAAAGUCGAAUUGAAUUUCUUUGCGAAGAAUUGACUGCACUUUCAAAUCUGAAAAAUGAAAUUUUCGAAGAAGAGAAAGAGAAACUACGCAAAUCGUGCAUGUCGUUAUAUAUUACGUUAUCUACCCGCAAGCAAAAAAAUUGAAGACAUUCGCAAUUCAACAUAACACAAAAUUAUUUUGUAAAAUAUGUGAUUCACCUGUGCGAUAUAUUUCUUUGGAUCAAUAUUAUACUUUUUUAUACGUCAAAACAUAAAAAAUAACGUUUUACACCCAUGAUAUAACUCGUAAAUAAAAUUUUUCGC